AUUUAUGAAUUUUAUAUCCAUUUAGGAUGUCUUCAUGUGCAGAUUGCAAGUCUCUAUUAGACAACUUUUGCUCAUGGGCAACCUCCAAUAUCUGCCUCCAGGAGGUCAUGAAGGGAGAAUGCUUGUCUGGCUGCAUAAAACAGUACUGGGAAUUCACAAUUCACUCAUGUCACCAAAGUGCUAACACCAGUGGUGGUUUUCCAAAGAGUGAGCAGUAUGUUCAAGUGGCAAGGUGAAACAACAGAGCUGAGAAUCAAAGGCCUAAAUGUUUGCCUGCCUUAUCUAAGAGACUGUUGGAUCUUGGACUUUCAUUUAACAUCAACAGAUGAUAAUAUUAAAUAAGAUGAUCUCCAUGUUUUCUUCUAAUAAAAAAUUCCAAGAUUCUUU
rnacentral:lncRNA from 1 species